rnacentral:rRNA from 2 species
AGGAAGUAAGAUCCCUGAAAGAUGAUCAGGUUGAUAGGUCUGAGGUGGAAGCGUGGUGACACGUGGAGCUGACAGAUACUAAUAGAUCGAGGACUUAACCUAUAUU